rnacentral:rRNA from 1 species
UACGGAGGGUGCAAGCGUUAUCCGGAUUCACUGGGUUUAAAGGGUGCGUAGGUGGGAAAGUAAGUCAGUGGUGAAAUCUCCGUGCUUAACACGGAAACUGCCAUUGAUACUAUUUUUCUUGAAUUUUCUGGAGGUCAGCGGAAUAUGUCAUGUAGCGGUGAAAUGCUUAGAUAUGACAUAGAACACCAAUUGCGAAGGCAGCAGACUACAGGGAUAUUGACACUGAGGCACGAAAGCGUGGGGAUCAAACAGG